UACAGAGGAGCCAAGCGUUGUCCGGAUUGACUGGGCGUAAAGCGCACGCAGGCGGUGGUGCGCGUGGGGUGUGAAAUCUGGCCGCUUAACGGCCAGGCGCCAUCCCAUACGGCACGACUGGAGGGCUGCAGAGGUCGAUGGAAUUGCCGGUGUAGUGGUGAAAUGCGUAGAGAUCGGCAGGAACACCCAGGGGGAAACCAGUCGACUGGGCAGCACCUGACGCUGAGGUGCGAGAGCGUGGGGAACGGAACCGG
rnacentral:rRNA from 1 species